GACGGAGGAUGCAAGUGUUAUCCGGAAUCACUGGGCGUAAAGUGCACGUAGGCGGAUUGUUAAGUCAGGGGUGAAAUCCUGGAGCUCAACUCCAGAACUGCCUUUGAUACUGGCGAUCUUGAGUUCGGGAGAGGUGAGUGGAACUGCGAGUGUAGAGGUGAAAUUCGUAGAUAUCCGGAGGAACACCGGUGGCGAAGGCGGCUUCCUGGACCGACACUGACGCUGAGGCGCGAAAGCUAGGGGAGCAAACGGG
rnacentral:rRNA from 1 species